rnacentral:rRNA from 1 species
GAUGAACGCUGGCGGCGUGCCUAAUACAUGCAAGUCGAGCGAACGGACGAGAAGCUUGCUUCUCUGCUGUUAGCGGCGGACGGGUGAGUAACACGUGGAUAACCUACCUAUAAGACUGGGAUAACUUCGGGAAACCGGAGCUAAUACCGGAUGAUAUUUUGUACCGCAUGGUUCAAAAGUGAAAGACGGUCUUGCUGUCACUUAUAGAUGGAUCCGCGCUGCAUUAGCUAGUUGGUAAGGUAACGGCUUACCAAGGCAACGAUGCAUAGCCGACCUGAGAGGGUGAUCGGCCACACUGGAACUGAGACACAGUCCAGACUCCUACGGGAGGCAGCAGUAGGGAAUCUUACGCAAUGGAGGAAAGCCUGACGGAGCAACGCCGCGUGAGUGAUGAAGGUCUUCGGAUCGUAAAACUCUGUUAUUAUGGAAGAACAUAUGUGUAAGUAACUGUGCACAUCUUGACGGUACCUAAUCAGAAAGCCACGGCUAACUACGUG